rnacentral:rRNA from 1 species
CCAGCAACUUGGAGGAAUGUAUAGCAAUUGCUAUUUGCAUUAAAAGUUUUUAGUGUAAAAUCGACUUUGUCGAAUAAAAUUCUGGGUAGAAUUAUGAUAAUGACAUUACCUACUCAUAAGUCUUGACCAAAUUACGUGCCAGCAGUCGCGGUAAUACGUAGAAGACAAGUGUUAUUCAUCUUUAAUAGGUUUAAAGGGUACUUAGACGGUAAAUAAAGCCUCUAAAAGGUACUAGUUUGCUAGAGUUUUAUAUGAAGGGGUUUUAAAGUACUACUGGUGUAGAGAUGAAAUUCAGUUAUACCUUACAUGGCACAGGUUAAGGCGAAAGCAUCUUCUUAUGUAAAAACUGACGUUGAAGGACGAAGGCUUUGUGUCUCGAACAGGAUUAGAUACCCUAGUAGUCUAAGCAGAAAAUGAUGAAUGUCAUAGAUUAGAUUUAAUUUGAUCUGUAAAUGAAAGUGUAAGCAUUCCACCUCAAGAGUAAUUUGGCAACAUUGGAACUGAAAUCAUUAGACCGUUUCUGAAACCAGUAGUGAAGUAUGUUGUUUAAUUUGAUAAUCCGCAAAAAACCUUACCACAAUUUGAAUAGAUAUAUUUUAUCAUACAAGCGUUGCACGGCUGUCUUCAGUUAAUGUCGUGAGACUUUGGUUAGUUCCAUUAAAUUAACGUAAACCCUUACUUUAUUUUUAUAUAAAGUAGUUCACCGCUAUAUUGGAUGUGAUAAUAGGGAUCAAGACAAGUCAUCAUGA